UUACGGGAGGCAGCAGUGGGGAAUCUUGGACACUGGGGGCAACCCUGAUCCAGCGAUGCCGCGUGGGUGAAGACGGCCUGCGGGUUGUAAAGCCCUUUUGGCGGGGACGAAGGGCCGGUCGUGAACAGCGGUCGGCGGUGACGGUACCCGCGGAAGAAGCACCGGCUAACUCCGUGCCAGCAGCCGCGGUAAUACGGAGGGUGCGAGCGUUAAUCGGAGUGACUGGGCGUAAAGGGCGCGUAGGCGGUUGGCUAAGUCGGUUGUGAAAGCCCCGGGCUCAACCUGGGAAUGGCAAUGGAGACUGGUCGACUGGAGUGCAAACGAGGACCGUGGAAUUCCCGGUGUAGCGGUGAAAUGCGUAGAGAUCGGGAGGAACACCGAUGGCGAAGGCAGCGGUCUGGGUUGACACUGACGCUGAGGCGCGACAGCGUGGGGAGCAAACAGGAUUAGAUACCCUAGUAA
rnacentral:rRNA from 1 species